AAAACAGAAUACAAAACAGACCUUUUGCCUGUCUCUACACCCAGCGCCACCGCAAGCCACAGAAGCACUCGAACUCUGGGACAGACAGGGGCGCUGGUGAACCAGGACAGGGGCUGGCACAGUGUUGGGCACUCCAGUAGAUCCGGGACUUUGUGGCUUUUAUAAUGCAGUCACACGGAAGCCGAAGUAUACCUAGACACAAAGUUUCCCUCAAUGACUCUGACAGUCGAGAUACUUUUAUUUCCUAAGUUCCAGCCGGGUCUGGCACACAAGCCUGCUCUCCAGACCCACACUCUCUGCAGCGCGACUUCACGCACGCGCGCAGACUCCUCCCCCCCCCCCCCCCCCGCCAUCAGUUCUCCCAGGCUCCGCCCCUCAGGCGGAUAUUCUCCUACAACUUCUGAAAUCGCCCGGCCCCAUCCCUCCCUGCCUUCACCUCUAAUUGGACGCUGGCCUCUAUAGGCUCCGCCCCUCGGCGACGUGAGCCCGCUUCCCUCCGAGUCUAGGCGCCGAGGGGGCGGGGCGGGGCGGGGCGUCUGCGCCCUAUUGUCAUGGAGACGGGAAGCCGGCGGCGGCGGUGGCGGGCAUAGCCCAGCAGAGGUGGCAGCGAACCGGCCGCGACUGAGGCGAGGCCGAGCAGCCCCGAGCGCGCGGAGCCGACCGCUGGCGGCCUCUCAGGCAGCCAAGGGAGCAGUGUUCUCCGGGGCUCGGGCUGGGCCGGGGUGAUCGCGGGGAGUGCCCAGGAGCGUCCCCGCCCUGCUCGCGUCGCUCGCGCUCUUGCGGCCCUUCAGCUCCCCAGCGCCCGCCCCCGGCUCCGCCCGCCGCCGCCGCCGCCGCCGCCGCCGCAGCCCCUCGCGCUAACGGUCGGUAGCGGCCCGCGCGCGCCGCCAGCCGGGGGCUCGCGCCAGCCACGAGGGAGCGUCCGCGGCUCACGCUCCCGCGCUGCGGAGGAGAGCUCAUGAUUUCCUGGAAGCUGGCUGUCCAUCAGUGUGUGUGUAAGAUGUGUUAUGAGUAUGAUGCUUCCAUAUACGUUUGGAUGUUUUCAGCUAAGUUCACUUCUGAACUGUGGGGCUCCUCCAAGUGUUGACUGAAAUCUGUCCUUGAGCAUCCCCACGCUCAUCUGUAAAAUCUACAGUCCAUAAUGGAGCCACUGUACUGGCUUUUGGAAGGAGGAGAUUCUGAAGAUAGGGAGAUUCAGCAAUCAGUCUUUGAAAUUUCCUGUGGUCUGUUCAAUCUAGAUGCAAAGGACAUGGAAAAAUCAAGUGCUCAAGUGGUUUAAAUAUGUUUUGGAUAUUCUUAUUUAUAGAUUACAGGAUUUUUCCAAUUAAAAUCCGCAGUUGUCAUGCAGAAGGAGGUUAUGCCCUUCUUGAUCACCAGUUUAUUUGAAAUGCUUAGCAUUAUAGUGUGUUACUGAAUGCUGUUUUAAUCAAAGUAUAGAAAAAUAAAAACAAUUCUGUAUGUUGACUUUUUUUCUAAAAUGACUUUGUUGGACUGAAUGAAUGUUUAUACCUGAAAAAGAGGGUUCCUCCCUGAGAAAAAAAUCACUUUCUCCAUUAUAGCAAUUCUUCUGGCAAUCUGAUAUCAUUAGAAUAGGUUUAAAAUCACUUUCUAAUGUGACCCUAUUAUAUUUAUGGAAGAAGAAAGACUUAGAAGUUAUCCAUAUAUAUAAUUUUAAUUCUCUAUAGUAGUCCCUCUGGAAUGGAACAUUUUCUUUUUAAAAAAUCUAUUAGCUCAACUCAGGUAUGAGGGAAAAAUCAUCUCAACUGGCAGAGCAUUCGUUACGUCUUUGAGUAUUUGGUUUAUAUAAAGGUUGACAUCCAGUCUUCCACAGAGUUCUUACAUUUGGGCAGACUGAAUAAUGAGGGGUUGCCUUGGCAUUGGGAAAUUCCUUGUUGUGGCCUUUGUGGUGGCUGAAGGGAAACGGAAGGAUUCCUCCGUGGCAGGCAGGCGUCUGGCUUCUGUGGUAUGAACUCUGUCAAGGGGUAUGUGUGACCAGAGGUAGCCCUUAGUGAGGGGACUGGAGAGAUGCACAGAUGCUGCUGACACCCGAAGAAGUAGUGGCGAGUUACUGUUUUGGGCAUGACCCAGUUUGUACUUCAUCCACUUCUAUAGUUCUCACAAAAUGCUAUGAUAAAUUCUUAAGCUCAGAUCUCCGUACAGCAAAGUAAAAUUUUUAGGCUAGAAUAUUUUUUAUUUUUAAUUAAACUUUAUAUUUUGAGAUAAUUACAGAUUUCAUGUGCAGUUUUACUAAAUAAUGGAGAGGUCCUCUGUACCUUUAGUAAGUUUCCCCUCAGUAGGGAAAGUAUCACAACCUGGACAUUGGCCUCAUUACAGCCCAGAUACAGAACUUCCAUCCCCGGAAGGAUUCCUCACUCUGUCCUUUUACAGUCGUACAUGCUUCUCUCCUGCUCCUCUUCCUGUAGCAUCACUAGGCUGUUCUCCUUUCCUGUAAUGUUUUUUCUUUUCAAGGAUGUUCUAUAAAUGGAAUCAUAUAGUAUAUAACCUCUUGGGAUUGACUUUUCUCACUCAGCACAAUUUUCUGGAGCUUCAACUCACACGUAUCAGUAUUCUGUUCUUUUUAUGGUUGGGUAAUAUCCCGUGGUGUGGUUGCCCCACAGUUUGUUUAACUGUUGUACCAGUUGAGACUUCAGUGUUGUUUCUGGUUUUUCACUAUUAUGAAUAAAACUGCUGUAAACAUGCAUGUACAGAUUUUUAUGUGAACAUAAGUUUUCAUUUUCCUGGGAUAAAUGCCCAGGAGUGUGAUUGUGGGUCAUAUGAUAAUUACAUAGAGUCUUUUUAAGACUAGAAUUGAUUUUGUGUGUAUGGAAGGGGAGACAAAGAGAACAUCUACAUUUUUGUGGUAUUUUUGCUUUAACUGGAUUUGUCUACGAUUUCAAAACAUACAGACUAUUUUAAAUAACUUGUAGCUAGAUAUAAAAAAAACAUUUUUCCACAAACUAGAUUUUGUUCUUAUUUCUAGAGAAAUACUUUUGAGAAAAAACUGACCUUUUUUGGGGGGGGUAAGCAAUUUCUGUGUAAAGGAAUAAAGGUAGACAUACACUAUAGAAAGUGCUGCAAAGCUGGCAGGGUACUUGGGGAAAAUUUGCAAGUGUUAAUAGAGACUUGACAUUCAAGGCUAUAUUGUAAUAGUUUUUCAAUUUGUAGACUUUAACUUUUGUCACUACCAUGUAGCCUGCAGAUUUUAUUUGUAGAAUAAAUUCAUUAUCUUUAUCAUUUGUGUUCAGCUGUGUUGCAUUUCAUGUCCAUCUAAUUCAACUAUAUGCAUGUAGGAAGAAAAAGAAGGAAAUGAAAAACAAACAAUAUCUUUUCUAGUGCAGG
ensembl:lncRNA